rnacentral:rRNA from 1 species
UACGAAGGGGGCGAGCGUUGUUCGGAUUUACUGGGCGUAAAGGGUGCGUAGGCGGGUCUUUAAGUCAGGGGUGAAAUCCUGGAGCUCAACUCCAGAACUGCCUUUGAUACUGAAGAUCUUGAGUUCGGGAGAGGUGAGUGGAACUGCGAGUGUAGAGGUGAAAUUCGUAGAUAUUCGCAAGAACACCAGUGGCGAAGGCGGCUCACUGGCCCGAUACUGACGCUGAGGCACGAAAGCGUGGGGAGCAAACAGG